CGGGCUUGAACAAUCUUAGGGUUUAGUCUUCAGUUGGCCUUCUAGAAAUUUGUGGAGGUAGAAUCAAAAGUUUUGAAUUUGAAAACUAAGUAUAUCGCUUGCCCGAUGAAUAAUCAUUUUGGUGCAGGUAGUGAUAAUUCGAACAAAUUGACGAUCAAGGAUUAUAACCUUCACAUUUUCCUCGUCAUCGGUAUCGACGGUAUGUGAGAGAAAUGUUCGAAGCUUUCUAAGCAUAAUUUCCUAUCUUAGAUUGAUGCAUUGGUGAAAUAUUGAUGGCAUGGUAUACACGAUUAAAGCAAGCUAAACAAAUGCUGGAGACAUACAUACUAAAUAAG